UAUAUGGCCCUCCAUAUUCCAGGGGGCGCUGUAGAGCCCCUGUGCCACGCCCGUGUAUCAGUCUCUGCCCGGCCCUAAUGGCCGCAGGUUCCAAUCUGUGUGCCAAUUUUCAAGACUUUUUAAGCACGUUAAGGGCCCCAAAAGCCCCCGAGACGUUGGAAAAAAAAAAAAAUAAUAAUAAUAAUAAUAAUAAUAAAAAAUAAUCCUAAGGAAAACAAUAGGCCUCUCGCCCUUUGGGCUUGAGCCCUAAUAAUAAUAAUAAUAAUAAUAAUAAUAAUAAUAAUAAUAAUAAUAAUAAUAAUAAACGGAGCAAUUCCAAGAGGGUCCUCACACCAUCGGUGCUCGGGCCCUAAUAAUAAUAAUAAUAAUAAUAAUAAACAAAGCAGAUACAAGAGGGUCCUCACACCAUCGGUGCUCGGGCCCUAAUAAAUAUAGCUGCAAGCAGCGAUGGCGGGCUCAAGCCACCAAUGCCAUCACCACCCCGGUGGCAUCAGGUAAACUGUGCCCAGCGGGCACAUGCAUUCACAAUAUCCCUCUGGCAGUGAGGUUUUAAAGGAUAGAGGGGAGCGUAGAGGGGAGCGUGCAUUUGCAGUGGCUGGGCCACGACUCUGGAAUACCCUGCCUUUAGAGAUCAGACUGGCCCCUUCCUUGUCUAUUUUUAAAUCUUUGCUAAAAACUUUUUUAUUUUCCUUAGUGUACUGACUACUGUGUUAUGCUACAUUUUGAAAUGGGUGGUUUUAAAUUUUUUGUCUGGUCUAUUUUUAUGUAUGUGUAAUAUUCUUGCUCUUAUGUUAAAGCACUUUGGUCAGCCAGGAGGCUGUUGUAAAUGCGCUAUACAAAUAAAUUGAACUUGAACUAGAACUUGAACUUGAUAUGGCAGUUAAAGGGUUAAUCCGAAUCAUCUAGACUUUAAAAUCACAUUCACAGAACAAUAUAUAUAUAUAUAUAUAUAUAUAUAACUUUAGUAACACUUUACAAUAAGAUUUCAUUUAUAAACAUUAUGUUAACAUGAACAAUAUUUAUAUAGCAUUCAUUCAUGUCAGUUAAUAUUCCAAACUUAAACAUUAAAACAUUGUUUUAUUGUGAUUUUUUUCCAAGCACAUUUUACCAAUUCCAAACCAUAUCAAUCUUAAUAACUACCAUUAUUUUUUAUUUAAUCAUUUAUGAGUGCUAUACAAUAGUCCAGGAAAGCUGGAAGAGAAAAACAGGUCAAGAAGAACUGACAAAAGAAUUGCAAAAGAAUUAGGAAUUAAUGUGAAGAUUAAUUUUUUGUCAAUUCUGCAAGACAGACUUUCAGGAAAGGAGGUGGAAUAAAAAUGAGCUCCUAAAUCUUAAUCCCAGAUUCUGGAAGAUAUAUUCCUCAAACCAUCGGACAAGAGAAGGUGGUGCUGGUCCUUCACGAGUCACUCUAAUCUGUUCAUUAAGCCUAUAUAUAAAGUCUUAAUAUAUAGUAUUUCACAAUACUUCAUGGUAUUCUAAUUAAAUAAUUUUUUGGAAUCUUAGAUCUCUCAGAACCUGACACAUUGUAAUUCUGAGACUCCAGGAAAGUGGCAGUUCUGUAAAAUGUUGGCGCUGGAGACUAAAUGCUCACUGAUAGUUUCACACCUAAUUCACUUAAAACACACACAAACACACACACACAGUGACAGAGGGACAGAGUGACAUCAGAUGUAUGUUUUUUAAUUUUCUGUCAUCCAUAUAAUGUUGUAUAGUCAUGAAACUAUGCAUAUUUCCUCAGAAUGACUUGUCUUCUAUGUGUACAUUUUUUUGAAGUGUUUAGAAGCUGCACUUUUUUUUACUGGUUCCUUUUUUACUAUUAUUUCAAAAAAUCACCACGACAAAACCAUUCAAGCUAUCCAAAAUUCAUUCACACCUGUUCUGUAAGAUUAAUUCUUUAAACAGUGGUAAAAGAGGAUGUGGUGCUGAACCUUCAAGAGUCACUUAAAACGUAUCUGUCCAUAAAGCCUAUUAAGAAUUAUUCUUAAUAUACAGUUCACAAUACUUCAGCUUGUUAUUCUAAUUAAGUGAGGGUCAUUUUAUCAGUAAAAUUCCUAAAAUACAUAUUAUUUUAUUUGAAAGAUUUCUAUAAAUUAUUUAAAUCAUACUCGUUUCUCCAAUAAUUAUUUAAAAGUAAUCAUAUAGCUCCCUCUGGUGGCCAUUAUAGGUACUAAGAAUUGCAAGCUUGAUUUAUAAGUUAUGAUAGUUUUAAUUUUAUGCUGGCUCUUGAAAAUGAUAAAGCUAUGAAACUUACUGUGCUUCCUUCAAAUGAGGACUUCUACUUAUAUAAAAAAUUAUGAAGAGUUAGCAUGAAAAAUUUUAAAGAUAUAGUAAAAUAACUAUUGUAUUUUUUAUGUUACUUUAAUAAAUCUCUAUGGCAACACCAUUUAAGCUAUCCUAAACCCAUUCACAAUUUAACAUCUCAGUAUAUAGGCAUAAUGUUGAAAAAGGAGUAUGGAGUAGUAUGAGUAGGAGUAUGAAUUCAUUUGCAGGCUUUAUCAUAAAUCCACAAUAAAAUUUCUGAGUUCUGUAUCAA